UACGUAGGCAGCAAGCGUUGUUCGGAAUUACUGGGCGUAAAGAGCGUGUAGGCGGUGCUCUAAGUUUGGUGUGAAAUCUCCCGGCUCAACCGGGAGGCUGCAUCGAAUACUGGAAUGCUAGAGGGUGGGAGAGGUAAGCGGAAUUCCUGGUGUAGCGGUGAAAUGCGUAGAUAUCAGGAGGAACACCCGUAGCGAAGGCGGCACUCUGGGCCGAUACUGACGCUGAGGAGCGAAAGCGUGGGGAGCGAACAGG
rnacentral:rRNA from 1 species